rnacentral:rRNA from 1 species
AGGCCUAACACAUGCAAGUCGAACGGUAACAGGAAGCAGCUUGCUGUUUCGCUGACGAGUGGCGGACGGGUGAGUAAUGUCUGGGAAACUGCCUGAUGGAGGGGGAUAACUACUGGAAACGGUAGCUAAUACCGCAUAACGUCGCAAGACCAAAGAGGGGGACCUUCGGGCCUCUUGCCAUCGGAUGUGCCCAGAUGGGAUUAGCUAGUAGGUGGGGUAACGGCUCACCUAGGCGACGAUCCCUAGCUGGUCUGAGAGGAUGACCAGCCACACUGGAACUGAGACACGGUCCAGACUCCUACGGGAGGCAGCAGUGGGGAAUAUUGCACAAUGGGCGCAAGCCUGAUGCAGCCAUGCCGCGUGUAUGAAGAAGGCCUUCGGGUUGUAAAGUACUUUCAGCGGGGAGGAA